rnacentral:rRNA from 1 species
GGGGGUUGCUUUUUGACUCACGCGGGAUCUUACCGGGUCCGGACACACUGAGGAUUGACAGGUAUUAUAUAGCGCGCUUGCGCGUCUAUUGUUAAAUAUGCUAGUCCUUUCAUGAUUAUGUGAUAGGUGGUGCAUGGCCGUUCUUAGUUCGUGGAGUGAUCUGUCUGCUUAAUUGCGUUUCAGAUAAGGAUCUAUAUUCUUUACAGAAGUGUUGCGUUGUGCGCAUUUGACCCCUCGUUCGCGAGUGCGUGUCUUUUCGCGCUCGCACGCUUUUUACAUUAGGUCCUGAAAGCAACGAACGUGACCGCAACCUCUUGUUGCCUCAUCUCCCUACUUUUUUAGCACUUCGGUGUUGAAUAAUUUCAUUGAGGCUUUCCAAAACUAGAGGGACCGCUGUCAACUUCUUAAACCAGAGGAAGGUUGCGGCAAUAACAGGUCUGUGAUGCCCUCAGAUGUCCCGGGCUUA